AUUGAACGCUGGCGGCAUGCCUUACACAUGCAAGUCGAACGGCAGCACGGGGGCAACCCUGGUGGCGAGUGGCGAACGGGUGAGUAAUACAUCGGAAUGUACCCAGUAGUGGGGGAUAACUAGUCGAAAGAUUAGCUAAUACCGCAUACGCACUAUGGUGGAAAGCGGGGGAUCGCAAGACCUCGCGCUAUUGGAGCAGCCGAUGUCCGAUUAGGUAGUUCGUGGGGUAAAGGCCUACCAAGCCUGCGAUCGGUAACUGGUCUGAGAGGACGACCAGUCACACUGGGACUGAGACACGGCCCAGACUCCUACGGGAGGCAGCAGUGGGGAAUUUUGGACAAUGGGGGAAACCCUGAUCCAGCAAUGCCGCGUGUGUGACGAAGGCCUUCGGGUUGUAAACCGCUUUCAGCAGGGACGAAAAUGACGGUACCUGCAGAAGAAAGCCCCGGCUAACCACGUGCCAGCAGCCGCGG
rnacentral:rRNA from 1 species